CCACCUUUGACAUGUACGGAACUCGCCAGAGAUGGCUUGGUGCUCGAAAGAGAACCGUAACACAGGUGCUGCAUGGCUGUCGUCAGCUCGUGUCGUGAGAUGUUGGGUUAAGUCCCGCAACGAGCGCAACCCUUGUCAUUAGUUGCUACAUUCAGUUGGGCACUCUAAUGAGACUGCCGGUGACAAACCGGAGGAAGGUGGGGAUGACGUCAAGUCCUCAUGGCCCUUAUAGGUGGGGCUACACACGUCAUACAAUGGCUGGUACAAAGGGUUGCCAACCCGCGAGGGGGAGCUAAUCCCAUAAAACCAGUCGUAGUCCGGAUCGCAGUCUGCAACUCGACUGCGUGAAGUCGGAAUCGCUAGUAAUCGUGGAUCAGAAUGUCACGGUGAAUA
rnacentral:rRNA from 1 species